rnacentral:misc_RNA from 1 species
UUUCCGUAGGUGAACCUGCGGAAGGAUCAUUAUUGGAUUGUGGGCCUCGGCCCCCUUACAAAAAAACCCUCAUAACCUCUCGUGAAAAUGUCGGCCCUCGGGCCUUCAAACUCCAAACUUUUUUGUGUCGUAUGAACGGAACAACUAUUAAAAGUAACACAACUUUCAACAACGGAUCUCUUGGCUCUC